UGAGGGAACGGGGCCGGGCUGGGCGCCUCGGCCGGCAGCGCGGGGGGUGGGGGGGGUGUCGCGGGCGUCUCUCGGAGCCCCCGGCGUGGCCGGGCAGCGCUCCCCGAGGCCGCAGGCGGCCGGGCGGGCAGGCCGCCCGUGGUGGCGGGGCGCGGGGUGCCGCACGGCGGAGCCAGGGUCCCGCAAAUGGCGGCAGGAAGGGUCUGCCUCUGCGUCCUGCCUCCGAGCAGCCGUAAAUGAUUUGGAGAUAGUCUGCAAAGAAAAAAUGUUUCUUUCUUGAGGGUAUGUACACACACAGAAGGCCUGGAAAGGCGGGUAAGGAGAGGGGGUUUUGGUUUUGCCUGGGUUUAUGUUUUAUGAGAGGAAUGCAGGCUUUGUGAGAAGCUGUGACCCAUGGAAAAAUGGGCAAAUUGUCGAAAGUGACUAUUGCCACAUAAAUGUUUAGAAACGCUGAAUAACUUCAGUCUUCUUAAGGUCUGAAAACAAAAUGUGUCUCUUCCCAAAGUAUGACUGUCACGAUAAUUGCUCCGUGGCAAGCCAUCUCUUUCAGCCACUUGUGUUGACCAAGGGAUGUGAAUACCAUCAACAGACUUUGUUGGGGCUGCUGGAGUUGCAGAAUUCCCAAGCAGAUGAAUGGUCAACAUGGCCAGGUCCUGUGCUCGCUGGCAUCCUGAAGGCAAGGUAUGUGUUGAGGCAAAAGCAGAAGAGGCAGAAGAGUGCUGGGCUCUGACUCCUGCAAACUUACUGUCCUUUGGGGAGUGUUGCUGGUUAAAAUGAGCCUCUCUAUUCCUUGGACUUCUCUAAUCUAUCCCAGAAACCUCUCCAUUCAUUCUUUGAUUAAUUGCAUCCUCCAAAGACUUUCUCCUCUAAUUCAUGUCAUCUUUAUAUGUUUGGACUUGAGCUUCAUCAAGCUGGUUUUCAUCUUCCUCUCAGUAUGUUCUCAAUAUUAGAUGUGUCAGAGGGCAGUUGUAAUUCCCAGAUUGAAUGAAAAGAUAAAGUAGCAUUGAUAUUAAUAACACUGCAGUCCGUAUACUGCAUCAUGAUCAUUCCCACAGCCUCUGUACAGAUGUUGGAUAGAAAAGGUGAUCAGCACUGAGUGCUGUUGCAUAUUGCAUCUGGGAACCCUUAACAGAAGGAAAAGCCAUCUGCUACCAUCUGGGAACAUUUAGUGAGGAAUCAGUGGAACCACGCUAAGGCAUUUCUCUUUCUGAGCCAGGUCAUGCAGCUGUGUCAGGGAUUUUGCAUGCUCCACAAUGUCAAAGGCCACCAAAGCUUUGAGUCAUCUGUAAGUCACCAGGCAUCUGGCCAUGGUCACUGGCUGAGAUAUUUUUAUUAUUACACUUAGCAUAGGUGAGGUGCAGUGCUGUAGGAGAAGUGAUCUCAGUGAGGCAGUUGCUAGCCAAGUGAGUACAGUCUAGAAGAGAUUUCUUUAGCAGGCAUCAGAGCAAAGUGUGUUUUGUUGGUGUGUGUCCCCCGCAAGAGCUGUUGGCAGCUUCCUCUCAGGAAGAAGCAGUGAUUCAUUAUUCCAGGAGCAGACUUACGCAGUCCCUGCAGUUUUUUUUCCUAGCCAAGCUGGAAUAGUCUAGAUUCUAGAUUAGUAAUUCAUAUUACAGUAGUUGCUCGGAAGUCCCUAUGCGCAAGGUGCUUUAGAGGUACAAAGAAAGAGGCAAUCCCUGUGCUAAUUUGAAGAUGUGAGCUGAACAAGAGAGAAAUUAAGAAACUUUCUCAGUGUCAGUAGGAGAUUCUGGAAAAUAUGUGAGCUGAUUGAAUAUCUCCCAAGCACUGCAGUAGCAUAGUUACUAUACAUAUUAAUUUAUAGUCAUUGACAGAUUGUAAAAAACAUGUAUAGCGUGACUUCUGUCAAGAAUUUACUGAGUGAUUUUAUGUUUGAAUUAAUAAGUUAUACACUAAAUUGAUAGAUAAUCUCUUUCAAAGUCAGGCUUACUUUAUAAAGUCCUCUAAAAUCUGUUUUCAAACAGUAAAAUUGCCUUUGUGAUCCUCUAAUGCUUUGUGAUCGUGUAAUUUAAAAAUAUUCCUAUCACCAAAACUAUCACCUAGACACUUCCAAUAGUUUACAUAGUAAAUACUUGUAAAGCAGUACAUUGAAAAUAGGCACUAUAACUGAAUUGUCUGUUAAAUGUUUUAAUUCAGCUAUUUAUUUUUCUGCACAUACAGCUUUGGCUACCCAGUAAAAUUAAUUUGAGUACUAUCAUUAGAUAAACAUGUGUUGGGGGUGCUAAAAACUUGAAGCCAUUGGCUUCAAGUACAGGUCUCUCCUCCACCAAAUACAUCAUACUUGCUGGAAUAUGACACUCCAGUCUAAUUGAACUCAAAGAAAGAGAUGUGGGUCUUGUACGUCCAGCCAGUUAUAAAAUCUUCAUUUUCACCUCUUCUUGCCUCCCUGACUAAAGAAGCUAUCACUGAUAAAUACAUAGAAAUGCAUAUAUCAUUCUAAGUCUUGUACUCUGAUGGAAGACACAAUAAGCAAAUUUAUUUCAUAAUCAUUCUAGCCUGUCAAAUACCAUUCACAAAAGAAUAAACUGUAAAAUAAAGAUUAUUUAUAAUUGUUGCUGGUUGUGUAAGAUGGGCAAAUAUGUACACAUUCAGACUAGGAUUUUUUGCUUUUUGUUUAAUUUUCUUGCUCUUUUUUUCACCUCUAAAUCUGUAUUUGACACUGUGAAGAAAAUGGACGCUUAAACACAUUAUUCCACCAGAAGGUGAGUGCUUUGGCUCAGUGCAGAACUGCCUUGUCUAAGGACAUUAAAAGCCAUUUUGGUUUGUAUGGGAGUAAUCGUAUGUUUGUGGGGUUUUCAAUGGACUGAAUUGUAGCUUCAGAAUAUGGUCCAGUAGAGUACUCAUGGGAUCCACCUGACAAGCAACUGAAACACAUACUCUCACCAGCUUUUCAGAACAGCUAUCAAGAAGCUUCCAAUAUGCAAUUUUUUGGCAACAGACUUGGUAAGGAUGCUUUCACUGCUUGCUGUGAAAUAGAGCAGCCACUCGGCCUUUCCUGUGCCGUGUGACACACAGGGUGCAUCAUGCGCUAUUCCCAUGUGACCUGGCACAUCAAGCAUGUCACCUUCAGGAGAGAGACAUGAGACAGGAGGGAGAGAAAUAAAUCUGUUUUCUCAUCGUCAGGCUUAUUGUUCCCCAUCUGCACCAAGUCUUUUUCUGCAUAAAGCUAAAUAAAGAGGUCUCAGAUUAAACCCCUACUGAGCACUUACUGACUCUGAACCGAUUCCUGUAAGCUGAAUUAAAAUGCAAUGUUAAACAAUGAAAGAACCAUAUGUUCUUGUCUCAGGACGUUUUAAAAAGAAAAUUGUCUACACAGAGCUGACAUAAUAUGACAGAAAUUGAAAGAAAAGUCAUGCAUUUACUCAUCACUAACUUUCAGAUACGCUGAUCCCUAAAGAAAUGGUUUAGCUAAGAACCAAGCAAAAAUAAGCAGACUUUUUAGCUAUAUAUUUUACCUCUGCUUAGAACGUGUUUUAGAGGCAAAUAACCAGAGUAGCAUUUAGGACCUCAGGACACAGGGAGGCAUGGCUGAGAGUGCCUAUGACUUCUGAUAACAGUACAAGUCAUGGCUUGCGAGAAGGAGAGGCGCAAAGUGUUAGCUAGCUCCUGGCCGCUGUUGCCACAGUGCUGAUGUGGGAUGUCGGUUUUGUUGCUAAAUUCGUGCCCUCACUUUUGAUAGAAAUGUAUGUCCUGUAUAUUACUGCAAUUUCACAUAAAUAUAUAAUGCUGUUUAUCAUCGUUAUCACCAAAAGAUGCUAAAAAUAUCAAUUAUGAUGACUGUACUCUUUAUUAUGUAGAAAGCCUUUUUGAUCUGCAUCUAAUGUGCAUAGGAUGGAGUCCAAGGUGAACUACAUCAGCAUGGAUUUAAAGACCAGAGUGCAACCAGCAAAUAGUAAGUCCCCCAACAGGUUUCGCCAUUGAAAAUCUGGGACAUGAGGAUUUCCAGCUCACCUUUGGAUGGAGUCCUGGGCAGGAGGCUUAGAAAUACAAUCUACCGAUGCUAACAACUCUGUUGUAGAAAGGAACCAAACCAGGUUCUACACAAGUGUUUGAACAAUCACAGAAUCUAAAGUGUGGCUGAUGCAUUGCAAAGUGUAGCAAGACUUACCUGUGUUCAUCUAACUUAUACAGCAUGCGUCACCACACUAAGCAAGAAAUCAGCUUCUCCAGCCACUGAAAGGCUGGCUCUAAAGCACCAGCAUGUCCUCCACCUCUUCUGCCACUACUGGAUGUUGAGUUUGCAGUCAACUUUUGUAAUGGUGCAUUACAACUAUUGUAGUGAUCGCCAUUCUCCAUGUCUCCUCUCCAGGUUUCCUGAAAAGAGCAGGAAGCUAUCGUGAUUCUGCCUUUUUUUUUUUUUUUUUUUUUCCCCUGCACCAGACUAUGCAGCUACCUAGCUGGUUAAAACGGAGCAUUUGAGGUUGUGUUCUCUUGGUGGGUGCAUGGUGGUGUUAUCCUGCUGCUGGGGAAAACCACACAACCAACCCUUUCCCCCAAAUUAAACAAAAAAACAUAAAACUCCAAACAACCCCCAAAUAGCGUAGCAUUAUCUAAUUAUUUUGUGAAUUAAAUAGAUCAAUUCAAGAGAAAUGAGUGAAAACAGGCACCGUCCCAGCAGAGCUACCUUCCUGCAAAGAUGUUCUCGCUUGCCUGGUCAAAGGCUGAAGUCAAAGUUCAGAUUCUCGAAGGGAAUUGCAGUACUUCUGCAAUUUUAUGCCAGGGGUCUCUCCGUUACAGAGACCAGGACUAGGAAGAAAAAAUCGGAUUAAAACUUUGCCAGACUGGUGACUGGAAUUUGCGCGUGGAGCAAAACGAGGGACGUGAGCUUCCCAAAAAACCCAAUGGAAUUUUGUCGGGCCGUGGCCUCGUCAGGCGUGAGGGAGGGGGGGAGGCCGGCGUGGCUGUGGCCGCGGUGCUUCACUGUCG